AUUGAACGCUGGCGGCAUGCCUUACACAUGCAAGUCGAACGGUAACAGGUCUUCGGAUGCUGACGAGUGGCGAACGGGUGAGUAAUACAUCGGAACGUGCCUAGUAGUGGGGGAUAACUACUCGAAAGAGUGGCUAAUACCGCAUGAGAUCUACGGAUGAAAGCAGGGGAUCGCAAGACCUUGUGCUACUAGAGCGGCCGAUGGCAGAUUAGGUAGUUGGUGGGAUAAAAGCUUACCAAGCCGACGAUCUGUAGCUGGUCUGAGAGGACGAUCAGCCACACUGGAACUAAGAAACGGCCCAGACUCCUACGGAAGUCAGCAGGGGGGAAUUUUGGACAGUGGGCGCGAGCCUGAUCCAGCACUGCCGCGUGAAGGAGGAAGGCCCUCGGGUUGUAAACUGCGUUUGCACGGAACAAAAAGCACCGGGUUAAAACCCUGGGGUCGCGACGGUACCGUAAGAAUAAGCACCGGCUAACUACGUGCCAGAAGCCGCCGUAA
rnacentral:rRNA from 1 species